GUCUACGGCCAUACCACCCUGAACGCCCCGAUCUCGUCUGAUCUCGGAGCUAAGCAGGGUCGGGCCUGGUUAGUACUUGGAUGGGAGACCGCCUGGGAAUCCGGUGCUGUAGGCU
rnacentral:rRNA from 1 species